GCGCUGGUCUUUUCCUUGCCGCCAUGCAGGCCAUCAACGAAAACUCGUUGCGCGAGUUUUAUGCGCACGUCUACCCCGUUGAGCUUAUCACCCAAUGGUUAUCGUACCGGCUCAGCCAGCCACGUCUUUCUGCGGGCUCUUCCGUGGCGAGGGUGAAAGGUGAGCAGACGGCGGUGUCCGGAGAGGAGAGUAAGGACGGGGAACUCCAUGCGCUCGGCAUGAAGGCGGAGCCGUGCAAUGCCGUGGGUGCUGCCUCAGGCGCUGAUGAUGACAAGGAGUGGCUGGAUGGGAAGGGGGCUGCUGCCGCGGAGGGCUAUCUGGCACGCCGCGAGUUCUGCUUCACCCUCAUCGGCGACAUCUUUACACGUUUUCGGAGCUACCGAAGUGCCGAGGAGCUGCGCGCCGAGCUGGUGCGCUGCUUUCCAGAGAAAAUCGACGUGGGCGCCGUGUACAGCAUCCGACCAAACCAGAAGCAAGGCCUCGCGAACGUCUUCCCGGUGGAGCGGGAGCUCGUGUUCGACAUAGACAUGUCAGACUACGACAAUGUGCGGUCCUGCUGCUCUGGCAAGAGCAUCUGCUCCUACUGCUGGGCGUGGAUGUCGUGCGCGGCGCACGUGCUGCACACCUUGCUGCGCGACGACUUUGGCUUCAAGUACAUCCUGCCCGUGUUCUCGGGUCGGCGCGGUAUUCACUUGUGGGUGUGCGACCGGCGUGCCAGGCGCAUGACAAACGAUGAGCGAACGGCGUUGGUCGGGUAUUUGACUGUCGUCGCACCCAAGACACUCCGCAGCACCAUCGUGGCCGAUCUGGCGAACCACCGCCUCAUCCACCCAACAAUCCGCCACGUGUUGCGCACACAGCUCGACCGCGCCUUCACUGCGCUUUUCGUAGCGUCCUCGAGCGACAACCCCAACAACAUUCAGCAUCAUCCCAAGGCUGCCUACAUCGUGCAUGACGCUACAUCGGCUGUGCUGAAGCUCGGCCGUCGCGACGCCUUGAACCGGUUCCAGCAGCACGUGCACUUCCAGCAAGGCAACGUGCUGGACUGGGCAACCUACCUGCGCGCCCUCGGCUCGGAACAGGAGGCCACAGAUAUUUUGCACGCCGUGCAGCUUCUUCUCAUGUAUCCGCGCCUUGACGAGCACGUGAGUACGCGGCGUGAUCACCUGCUGAAGCUUCCCUUUUGCGUGCAUCCCGGCACGGCCUCCUUGUGCUGCCCACUCGAGUGGGAAGAGGUGGAUGGGUUCAACCCAACAGAGGACGCGCCGAAGCUGCACGAAAUGCUUCUCAGCCACAGCCUGGAUGCUCGGUGGACGCUGCCGCUAGAGCGCAUGCUGAAGGCCAUGCGCACAGACGAAGACGAGAACUCCUCGUGAGGGCCUUGGCUAGCGCACAUGUGGCUCUGCGCGUUGGCAUCCCUUUGCGGGUGCAUGCACGCCGUUGGCUGGCGCAGCUUUACACGGUGAGAGGCGUCGCUCUCUUUACCGUCUUUCGUGUGCUGACUUGUGCCCCUGGAAGUGAACGACAAGCUUGCCUCGCCUUCCUCUAGGCACUGAAAGCAGGAUCUCUGCGGCGCAAUGUUGGGCGCGAUAGAUGAGGGCUGCGUCUGUACACGUUGAGCGCUUGUAUGUAUGUCGAUGCGUUCAGGCCGGCUCCUCAAUUUCGAUGUUGACCCCCUCCUCUUCUCCCGCCAUCUCCGGCUUUUCUCUCUUUCGUUGGAUAAGGUUUCGUCUCUCAACAACUCGUUGUUGGCCCAGUCGUGGCAUAUUGAAUUUGUGUUGUCGUGUGGUCUCUGUCUGUGCCUGUGUGUGUGUGCCAGGCGCUGUCGCCCUUUGUGAGUGCUUCCUGCCUUUAUAUCUCCUUCGUUUCGUCUGUUUGUGUGCGUGCAGGGGGGGGGUUGACCGCGGAGGGCGCGUUUCAUCACAGCACGUUGCCUCUCGUCGACGUUUGCGUGAUGCGCUACUCCCUACCUCCUCCCUCUCUCGUGUGCGCCCAGGUGACUCUCCUCCCUCGUCUACGCGAUUCCAGUCGCUCUUACACUUCAGAGGAACUCUGAGCACAUACAGCGCAAGAGCGUAAAAAAAAAAACAGCAGCAGCAAUCAGUGGCCGAACAAGAUGUCAUUGUGCCGUCCCCCGUCCCUCUUUCUGAUCGGUGCGCGCGUCGAGCAUUCGCGCGCAUAUGCUGGCGUGGGGCUCUUCCCUUCCACUUGGCUCUCUUCCGCUGCUGCGCACCUCUCCUGUCUCUCGCACUCCUGUCCUCGUCUCUCCUCGACGACCGGCGAGUUGCUCGCUCGCCCUCGCGUGUCGCGUGCGUCGUCCACGUUGCAG
rnacentral:misc_RNA from 1 species